CACAGGCGUACUGGUGGUGAUAAGGUUUACAAUGUUUUCGACAACCAACUUCCUGCUGCUUUGAAAAGGUUGCAAUUUGACAGACAACUAUUAAUGGAGAAUUUAGGAAGCUCAUUACUGAAGCUGAUGGCUAUCAACUACAUUUAAUAGCUCCUGAACAAGGAUAUCAUCGUUUGACUGAAUCUAUUUUAGUUACUAUCAGAGGUCCACCUGAGGCUGCUGUUGAUGCGACUCAUUCCAUUCUGAAGGAUCUGGUUCACAAGGCUAUGAGUAAAACUCCAACGUCAGGGGAUUUUCAAGGAAACAACAGACCACCUGUAUAAUGCAGCCACUCAGGAGCGGGAAACUACUUUGAAUCAGCUACUAAUAGAGCUUGAUGGGUUUGAUACUGGCAAGGUGUUAUAUUUUCGGCUGCUACAAAUCGUAGAGAUUUGUUAGAUCCUGCACUUCUCAGGCAAGGUCGUUUUGAUCGCGAGGUUAAUUUCCAUCACUUGAAUAGCAGAUCUAAUUAGGUAAUAUAUCUCAUCAAUACAAAAAUAUAGUCGAAUCACUUUAUCACCCAUCACUUGAUCUAAUUAGUUAAUAGCAGAUCUAAUUAGUUAAUUUCCAUCACUUGAAUAGCAAAUUUUAUUAUAUUACAUUUUUUAGUAUUAAAUUUUUCAUGAAAUUAUAAUAAUUUAAUAAAAUCAUUUUUUACUCAUCGAUUAUCAUAAUGUAUUUAGUUAAACAAUCAGUAAAUAUUAAAAUGAUAA